rnacentral:piRNA from 1 species
UUUCAAAAAUUUCUUCCAUGA